CAGUAGCCGCGGGAAUACGGAGGGUGCAAGCGUUAUCCGGAUUUAUUGGGUUUAAAGGGUCCGUAGGCGGACUUAUAAGUCAGUGGUGAAAGCCUGUCGCUUAACGAUAGAACUGCCAUUGAUACUGUAAGUCUUGAGUAUAUUUGAGGUAGCUGGAAUAAGUAGUGUAGCGGUGAAAUGCAUAGAUAUUACUUAGAACACCAAUUGCGAAGGCAGGUUACCAAGAUAUAACUGACGCUGAGAGACGAAAGCGUGGGUAGCGAACAGGAUUAGAUACCCCUGUAGUCCCUGUCUCUUAUAC
rnacentral:rRNA from 1 species